rnacentral:rRNA from 1 species
GAUGAACGCUGGCGGCGUGCCUAAUACAUGCAAGUCGAGCGAACAGAUGAGAAGCUUGCUUCUCUGAUGUUAGCGGCGGACGGGUGAGUAACACGUGGGUAACCUACCUAUAAGACUGGGAUAACUCCGGGAAACCGGGGCUAAUACCGGAUAAUAUUUUGAACCGCAUGGUUCAAUAGUGAAAGACGGUUUCGGCUGUCACUUAUAGAUGGACCCGCGCCGUAUUAGCUAGUUGGUAAGGUAACGGCUUACCAAGGCGACGAUACGUAGCCGACCGGAGCGGGUGAUCGGCCAGACUGGAACUGAGGCACGAUCCAGACUCCUACGGGAGGCAGCAGUAGGGAAUCUUGCGCAAUGGGCGGAAGCCUGACGGAGCAACGACGCGUGAGUGAUUAAGGUCUUCGGAUCGUAAAACUCUGUUGUUAGGGAAGGACAAAUUUGUUAGUAACUGAACAAGUCUUGACGGUACCUAACCAGAAAGCCACGGCUAACUACGUGCCAGCAGCCGCAGUAA